rnacentral:tRNA from 1 species
GGGUCCGUGGCAGAGCGGUCUAUUGCGCCGACCUUAUAACUCGGUGGACGUGCAAGCGUCCCGAAGGUCCGAAUCCUUCUGGACCCGCCA